UGGACGCUGGCGUGCUCUCACUUAAGCACGCAAGCGCCUCUAGCGGCUGUCAAUGAGACAGCUGCUAGAGGAAAUAGGGGAAGGCUUAACCCAUUCAUAAACAUAGCAGUUUCUCUGAAACUGCUAUGUUUAUGAAAAAAUGGGUUAACCCUAGCUGGACCUGGCACCCAGACCACUUCAUUAAGCUGAAGUGGUCUGGGUGCCUAGAGUGGUCCUUUAACCUCCUUGAAGAUGUAUUGCCUUUACUUUUGAUACUGUGGGUGCCAAUUGAUGUGGACAUUACUGUUUUCACAGCCUUAACAAAAAUGCAUAAGGCAUUCACUGGGAUCUAACUAGGCAAUGCUUUAACACUGUGAACAUCUGUUGGGUUUAUACAUCUUCUCAUGUUUUUCUUCUUUUGCAUCCCUUUCUCCAUUAAUUUAUUGUAUGUUUUACCUCCAGUGAAGGAUUUCUUCAAGUGUACCUCUUGCUUCGCACAAUAACCACUAUUUUUUUUUCUUCUUUGCUUAAUGUUUAUAGAUAGCUGAAUGUCGGAGCAUAUUAAUUUAUAUAUCUACAAACCUGAUCUAAAAUUCUG